rnacentral:lncRNA from 1 species
AAAAGUACCCAACUUCAAAUGCCCAUAAAUUUGUCAUAGCAAAUCCAAAUGAUGAAAACUUUGAUUCCAAAUUUAUAAUCUUGAAAAGAUAUACAACUUUUAUGUUGUAGGUUUUUCCAUUUGAAGCUUGCAUUAUGAUAAUAGAGGGGUUUGAUUAGGCUUGCUUUUGGUGAAUAUUUUCAAAUGUGACUUAAACAUGUUUUGUACUUGGAUUUUCUAGACCAAUUUUCAUUAAUUUCCAAAUGCCAAAUGAAUUUUUUCCCAACAUGACUUUUGUUCCUUAUUUCAAGGGCUUUCCAACCAUUACUCACAAUGCUCAUUUGGACUUACCAUUUGGGAUUUUCGAAGACCUUUCCAUUUAUGUGCAUUUUGGUAUUUCAUGUUAUAACUUGGUAUGCAAGCUGAUUCCAUUUCAAAUGCACGUAUUACUCACAAUGCUCAUUUGGACUUACCAUUUGGGAUUUUCGAAGACCUUUCCAUUUAUGUGCAUUUUGGUAUUUCAUGUUAUAACUUGGUAUGCAAGCUGAUUCCAUUUCAAAUGCACGUCCAAAUCAUUUACAUGUGAUUCUAGAAAGAUAUUUCAUCCACCAUUGGGCCUGCUACACGCUUGCACCGGCCCAUGCAAGCAAAUUUCAAAUGCCAUGCACAUGAAAGAAGCGUGGGAUUCAGCUACCUUGAGCUAUAAAUAAAGGUUCCCUCUCAUUCAUUUGGCAACCUUUUGGAGAUCUGAAUUGCUGUAGCAUUGAAACCAUAGCCAUACCAAAGGAAUUUGAUCAAAAUUUAUCUCACUUUCGAGCUUGAAAUUCAGCAUCAUUAGCUGAUCUUCAAAGCUUUAUUCCUUAACCUUUCACUUCCACUGCAUCCCUAGAGCAAAGAGGAAUCAAGAUCUUGAAGAAAUCGUGGCCUUAAGUGCUUCAAUUCAGAGGUAUACAUUCAAACUUUUGGAUCUAGAACUCUCAUUUCAUGUAGCAUUCUUGUGUUUGUGUGGUUUUCUAAAGUCCUCAUACUUGAGGCAAGCUUGUGAUGCUUUCAAUUUUCCAUUUCAUGAACUUUCAGUUUGAACACCAUGAUCUUCCACUUCAUAUUUCUCUCAAUAUAGGAAGAGUGAGGAAGAUCCAUGGAUACAAUGGUGAUCUCCAUCACACGAGCUUCAUUUCCAUGGCUUUGUUUUUUAUUUUUAUUAAAUUUCAUUUUCCUGCAACUGGUGGCCGGAGGUUGUUGUUCCACCGGAGAAGAUGGUGGUUUCCACCACCAUCACCACGUGUGCACCUUCACAGCCCUUGGAUUUGGUUUUCACGUUUUAAUCGUGUGCAUCCAUUGUAUUUACUUCAUUUAAUACCUUAUAUGGCGCGUAUCACUUGGAUGUAGCGUGUUCUCCAUGAUCUGAACCAUUCAGCCUUGCCACGUCAAUUGAUGAAUCCAUCCUAUGGCGCUGGUUUUUUCCAUUAUUUCUAUUUUCAUUUUAUUUUGAGUUAAUUCCAUUUAUUUUCAAAAAUUCAUAAAAAAUUCAUUUGAAGUCAUAAGAAUAUGAGACCGAUUCCAAAAAAUUUCUUGAAAAAUCUAGUUUCAUAUUUUGAUUUUUAAUUAUUUUUGUGACUUCAUUUGAUAUUUUUCAUGAAUUAUUUGAUUUUUAAUAGUUUUAAUUCAUUUUAAAAUACUUUCUGGCUUUUGAAAAAUCCAAAAAUAUUUUCGUAGCAUUUAUGGAUCAUGAAAAAUAGUCUCAUCAAUUUCUUAUUUGAUUUGAGAUUUAUUUGAGAUUUUAGUCUAUUUUAUGCUAUUUUUAGUUGUUUUUAAUUGUUUUUAAAUACUUUCUGGUUUCAAAAAUUUGUGAGAAAAUUAGUCAAAGUUUGUUUGACCAUGUUGGACCUAUGAGAAUUUAAUUGGACUUGUUGAAGUUGAUUUGAAUUGAAUUUGAGGUUUGACCUUAUUUGUUUAUUUUUUAUUUGCAUUUUAUUUUAAUUCAAAAAAUACCAAAAAAAUAUUGUUGACUAACUUGUUGAAGUUGAUUUGAAUUGAAUUUGAGGUUUGACCUUAUUUGUUUAUUUUUUAUUUGCAUUUUAUUUUAAUUCAAAAAAUACCAAAAAAAUAUUGUUGACUUGUAAUCUUCAUUUCUUUUCUAUUUGGUGUUGAUUGAUGUUGGUUUGAUCCACAUUUGAUCAAUUGGAAUUGAUUGAUGUAUUCUUUUCCCCUCCCUUUCAUCUUCAUCCCAUUAUUUCCAUCAAUGGCCAAUGAGUUAAGUUCUUAUGGUUGGUCUUGACAAAUGAGAGGUUUAACCUUCUUUGAUCCAAACCAAACUCAACUUGAUCCAUGAUUAAGUGAGUUGUUUUGUGUCCAAGAUAGGUUGCCUCUUGGUCAAGCAAAUAACCUAAAGAAAAUACAAGGCACUUCCCAUUUUGUUUUGGCAUGGAAAGUUUAUGGAGCUUGGCUUACUAGUCAUGAUCUCUAACUUGUGUUCUUUGCCUAUAUUUUUAUUGACCGGCCUCAGAUAGGUGAUCUGAGCAACUAUGCCUAAAGGAGUUCAAGAGCAACUAUGCCUCAUGCUUAUGGAGCUUGGCUUACCUAUGCUUAAAUGAGAUCAAGAGCAACUAUGACUCAUGCCUUUAGAGUGCUAAAUUGGUUGAAAAGCAACUAGGCAUCAUGCCUUUAGAAUGCUAAAAUUCCAAGUUGAUCUCAAAAGGACUUCUCUUCAAAACUUAUUCUUUGUCCAUUCCCCUUAUUGUGUUGUGAACUUUUUGAUGUUUGUUUGUGUGUGAUAGGGAUCCCACUUUGAGAUUGUGAAAAGAGGACCAUUGUCAUGAGUAACCAAGUUAAGAGACAAGUCAAAUGGAGAUCCUAUGAGCUUGAAUGCGAAUUAUUGAUUGCUUGUUUAUGUGUUAAGUCCAAAGGAAAUGAGCAUCUUGAAUCAUCUCUAUGAUUCCAAGAAAAGGAACUCCAAGGGUUUAUCUUUCCCUCUCUUAUCUUUGUAUGCUUUAGGACUAGCCCUUCUCUUCUUCUCCCCACUCUAACCAAGCCAAAAUCUUUUUCUUCAAACUUUGACUUUGUUUCAAAUUAGAAACCUAGGCCUUAAGCCUUUGACUACUAACCAAGCCAAAAUCUUUUUCUUCAAACUUUGACUUUGUUUCAAAUUAGAAACCUAGGCCUUAAGCCUUUGACUUUUCAAAACCAUUUUCAUCAAUACUCAUUGUGAAUAAAUCUUAAUCCAACUAUGACUUCAUUUUGUAAAUAAAUCUAACUUGUAAAUAUAACCCAUUUCAAGUUGUUUUGUGGUUCCAAUGGCCACUUGUUAAAACUUUUCAUAAACAUUAGUCAUAGGUUUGAGUUAUCAUAGUGGUUAAUGUAAAUCUCACCUCAUCCUUAGUGAUUGGAUUAUAAGUCUUCCAUGCUUAUUAUAGGGUUAACCACUCACUAGCAUGUUGAAGCCUUCCUCACAUGGUGGAUUGUUGGUUUAGGUUUAGUUUUCUCCCUUUGAUAACAAAAGACCUUAAGGCUUUUGAUCAAAUCAAUUCACCAAUCUUUGAGAUUUUUACCCCGAACUACGAGAUUUUGAUCCUCCUUUGUGAUGGUACGUAGGCAAUGGAUUCAUACAUUCAAACAACAAAUUUGUAAAUAUAAUCUAUUCUCUUCUCACCCCCCCAAUCUUUUGGUACAAAUAUUUUCACAAAUACCAACCUACAACACAUAUUUGCAAAAAGGGUUCCCUUAGAAUACUAAGGAUGUUUUGGGUGCGUAAAACCUUCUCAUUUCAUAACCAACCCCCUUACCCAGAUCUCUGACAUUUUUAUUAGUUUUUGAUUUGAUUUUGAAGAAUGGAACCGAAAACAAGCGAAAAAUCCCUUUCCUUUGGACAAAUAAAAGUGCGGUGGCGACUCGAAUUGUAUGUUUACUUUUGGUUUAGUCAAUAAACCUAAAGGUAACAAAAACCCCACUACAAUAUUCAAUGUAGCCCCUUUUCCAUGUAAAUUACCAUUUUUUAACUUUUGUAAAAGAUCUAUGGGGUCUUGUCAUUUACAGACUACCAUCCUAUUAAAUAAAGUUGAGCUUUUUAUCCAAUUGUUUCUACUCUUAUUUAUUUCAGCUAAAUAGAUUUAAAAUUUUAUGAUGAUUAUAUUGAAAUUGAAUUUAAAUCAUGUUUUCUUAAAAUAAUAAAAGCAGUUACUUUUUAAAUCGAUUUCAUUUAAGGCAUAUCAAUAGUGGUCUGAGAGCAGUAGGCCCUAAAUGAGAAGCAUUAUUGGUUUUCCCCAAGCAAUUGGAGUGAGCUUUGUUUCCUCUCCAGCAGUGUUUCAGCAUCGCCAACCGAGUUUUGUUGGUAUCCCCAGCUGAGUUUGUGAAUGCAUCCCUCGAGUUGUAGGCACGUUGUCUCAGCAAAUCAUUGUUUCCCUCAAGUCUCCAAUGGAUUCCAUUCAGCAUGGAUUCUAGAGCAGUUAUCUGAUCCUCUGUAAGGUUGUCUCCCCGUUUGAUAUGGUGUUGACCUAAAAUUCCCCGCAGAGUUGAUAGUGCAGAUUUUCGGCAGAUCUUUUCCUUUUCCCCAGCCAAGGUUGAGCCUUUGAGAUAGAUGAUCUGCGUUCAUCCUUUACCUCUCUUUCUCCAAUUGGUUACCUCCUGUGAGGAUGGGCUGAGUGUUGUAUUGGUGAUGCAGACCAGUGACAUUUGUAUCCUUUGCGAUCGUUUUGUCGGCAUAAUCAUCAUAUAUACAUAUACAUAUACAUUCAUAAAUUUCAUUAUUGCAUUAUUAUUUGCACUUUGUGAUUCAUUAUUUCUCUUAUCCUCUGUUGUGGUGGUAUCCUUUCCCCCACGCAGAUUUGGUGUGUCUGUCCUCUUUCAAUUGUAGAGUGUCAGCCCCUUAAGCGGAAAUAAUUUUACCUUUCUCAUUCCCCACUGAGUUAUUUCCUCGUGGAUAAUUAUUUCAGCUUCCUCCCCAGUUGAUUAUCUGGAUGGAACCACUCCCCCUGAGUUAUAUCCUUAUCGGGUUGAGUCCUUGAUUAACCUUUUCUUUCUAGAUCUUACCUAAAUAGAUGCUUUUGGUCCCCUGAGAGUCUAUUACCCAAUAGUGGGUAAUACUCUUCUCGAUUUGUGAGUACUUUACUUUUUCCCAAUACCCGGUAAAAGUAAUAUAUUUCCUCUUUCUCCCAGCAGAUUCGUUUUCAUGUUUCUCCAGGAAGUCUAUCCUUGAUAUGUUCAUCCUAACCGAUGACAGAUAUUUUCUUCCCCUGCUUCGAGUCUAUCCUUGAUAUGUUCAUCCUGAUCGGUGACGAAUAUUCUCUCCUUGUGGUAUUCUACCCAGUAAAACGGUAGUUGUAAUCCCUAUUUCUUUCCCCAGAGGGUUAACCCUUGAUAUGUUCAUCCCAAUUAAUUACGGGUUUUCUCCUCUUUGUGGUCUUCUGCCCAGUAACUGGUAGUUAUAAAUCCUGUUUCCCCUUGCGGAGUCUAUCCUUGAUAUGUUCACUUUAACCAGUGAUGGAUAUUCUCUUCUUUGGUAUUCUAUCCAAUAACAGAUAGAUUUGAUUUCUGUUUCUCCCCUCUGAGUUUAUCCUUGAUAUGUUUACCCUAACCGGUAAUGGAUAUUCUUCCUAAUUCCUCAGGUGUUUUAUCCUUGAUAUGUUCAUCUUAAUCGAUGACGGAUAUUCUUCCUUUGAUUUUAUCCUUGAUAUGUUCACUUUAAUCAGUGACAGAUAUUCUCUCUUUUUGGUCUUCUGCCCAGUGACCGGUAGUUGUAAAUCCUAUUUUGGCUUUUCCCCAGCUGGUUAUUCUUACCCAGUGACUGGUAAUGAAUAUACCUCCGAGAUGCCCUCAGCGAGUCAUCCUUGAUAUGCUUACACUAACCGGUAACAGAUGUCCUCCCUUCCAGAUUUGUUAUUACCUUAUCCAGAAACCGAUAGUGGAUAAUACAUUUAUGUUACUCCUGUGUUGAAGAUCAUUUCUUCCCCGGUUGAGUUUGAGUGCGUAUUUCCUCAGUGAGAUCGUUGUUUCCUGCUUGGGUUGAGUAUUUCAACUUUGUUCUGAUCUACCUGUUUCCCCUGCAAAUGUUCCUUUUAUUCCCCGACUGAGUCUUUCCAUUGAUUUGUUUUCAUGGAAUCCCUCGUGUCCCCCUAGCAGUUUUAAGUCGUAGCCUGGCCUACGCGUAACUUUUAUCCCCUAGAGUCUCUGUCUCCCCAGUGAGUUUUCCUUAUGGAAUGCAUUAUGCUCUUGCGGACUUUCAGUCUCUCCAGAUUCUUUUCCCUUGUGACAAAGUUUUCCCCACAAGAUUAUUUUUAGCAUUCAUAUCAUAUGCAUCACAAGGUCUCUUAGGGACCAAAAUUUGUUUCUAUAUGUUGUUAUUUAAGUCCAUUCUACUGAGUCAAUACGAAUAUUUAACCUUCAUCUCCUCAGUUAGAACGUCCUUAAAUAGGGGCAGCUAUAAGACCCCAAUUUUGACCCUAAGAUCCCUCAUGUUAUCUCAUCGUAUGCAUUAGCAUUGAGAUCACACCUUGGCAUCCUCCUUACCCCUCUUUCAUUGGGGUUGCAUUGGGAGAGAUCACCAAGCAUAUUUGAUUGUAUCAUGCUUCAUUUUUCUUUAUUUACUAACCAAAAUACCAAAAAUAUGUCAUUGUAUAGUUUAACUCUUUUGUAGGUAGUGCACAGGCCCACCUAUGCUCUAUCAAGCUCAUAUAUAGGAUUUGAGACCCUCAAUACAAGGAGCUCAAUCAAGAAAUGAUUUACUGUGGCUCUAAGUAUCAUAUAUGGGUCCCCAUGAUCUUCAUAUGUUAUUUUGAUCAAGAGAUCAUCAAGAGUUGGGAAUUGAUUUGCCUUGGAAACCCUAAUUCAUCUAGGUAUCUUGUGUGACUUCUUCAACAAGUUUCCUUAAUAAUUGAUCAAAUAUUUAAAGUUACACUUCAAAUUACACCAUCUUAUGCAUAUAUGAUCCUCCAUGAGUCUCAAAGAUCAAUAAAACUUCAAGUUUGCAAGUUGGUUUAAGGUGGUUGACCAGUGAAAGUCAACUAGCCAAAACUGGGGUUCCCUAUAUCCUACAAUUUUUGUCAUAUGAAAAUGAUUCCAAGAUUAAAGUUACUCUAAAUGACAUUCCAAAAAACUUUCAUGUUGAGUUCUAGAGAAAAUUUUGCUUGGAAAGUCAUUUUUUAUGGUGAAAGAUUAUAGGUCAUUUUGUCUAAACCCUAGCUUGGAGGUCAACUUCCCAAGGCCAUAAAUUGCUCAUUUUUUAUGAGAUGAAAGCCAUUCAAAUUUCAUGAUCAAAUUCAAGAGGUCUACUUAAAAUUUUAUGUUUGGAGGAAGUGCAAAUUCAACUUGCAAAUUCAUGUGCCAAGAGGAAACAUUAUAGGUCAUUUUGGACCAUUACCAUUGAACAAGUGAUUUUCCUCAACUUCUAAAAUGCAUAACUCCUUCAUGCCAAAUCAAAAUAAGGUCAUAUUUGUGACCAAAUUGAAUAGGUUUCAAAUAUAUACAACUUUUAUGAAGGAACUGUUCUCAUUUGAAGCCCAUAGAAAAAGAUAUUUAAGGUGGAAGAAGUGAACAUUUGACUUGGGACUUAGAAACUUUUCAAAUAUGUUUGAUUUCCCAAACUUCCACCUCAAAAUUAAUCAUGAUCCAAGCUUCAAAUGAAAAAGUAUUCAACAUGAAAGUUGUUCCCCUUGAUCUCACCUUUCCAAAACAUCCAAGAUCAUCUCAUUUGGACUAAAAUUGAAGGACUUGCGCAUGGUUUCAUUAUGGGAAGUGUUUUGGCAAGAUUGAACUUCACAUGAUCAUUUUCAUUUGCAUGCUUACACAUGAUGGUUUCAGCAGACUUUGUACAUGAUUUGGAGUUGGAUUGCAUCACUCUUGAGGCCCAAAUGAUUGCCCAUGCACCCAUGCAAGUUAAUUACUAUUUUUUUCCAAUUUUUAAGUGGUGUAAAUAUCAAACACAUUGUCUAUUUAAACAAGCUUAAGGCUUCAGAUUCAUGAUCAACACCUUGCCCAAGCAUUGCUAGACCUCUGCAAACCCUCACUACCAUAGAAUUUUUUGAGAUUUCUCUUGAAAUCGAGCUUGAACUUCACCUUCUGUUUGGAAGUUCAAACUCUAGAAAUUCACUUCCAUUUUCAGUUCAUUUGGUUUCUGCAAGCAAGAGGAGGAGAAAGCAAUCAAAUCUAGAUCAAGAUCAAGUCAAAUUGGAUCAACUCGAAGGUGAAUUUUCAGAAACUUCCACUCUUUGAUUCUCUCUUAUUUCUCCACUAUUCUUGUUGAUUUUUGGUUAUCUGAAGUCCUACCAAUGUAGGCAACAAGAUUGAGUUGCUUUGAGGUUAAAUCGAAGCAACUUAGUUCAUGAUCCUCAAAAUUCAACUCCAUGUAUCUUCUCAUAUACUUGGAGUUAGACAAAAUUGAGGCCAGAUUCGAGCUCCUGAGCAUUUUUUCUUUAAAUCCAUGUCUUGCUUUUUUAUUUUGGUGAUGGUUGAAGGUGGACCAGUCCGGUGAGGUCCACCGAAGAAGAAGAUCAGAGCUCUGGCUCCGGUGAUAUGUUGGCAAGCUUCUCAACCAUAGGAUCCAUUUAAAUUAUUUUAAUCUUAGGCGUUGAUUGUGAUUACCACGUGUGCUGCUCAGUUAACUAAAGAACACAUGGAACAUGCCUUUGAACCAUCUGAUCUUCCACCUCAAUUAAUGAGGGAGAUCAGAUGGUCCACAUAUUUUUGAAUUCCUGAAUUUUCAUUUUUAUUGCUUUAUUUUCAUUAAUUCAUAUUAAUUUCAUUAUUGAUCCAAAAAAUAUGGGACUUUCACCAAAAAAAUUCAAAUAUUUUCCUCUUUCAUUUUAUGAAUUAAAAUUAUUUUUUAGAUCAAUAUUGAUAUUUUUCAUGAUUUAAUUGUUUUUGUGCAUAUUUUAAAUUGUUUAAAAAUACUUUGGACUUUUUAAAAAUAGUGAAAUUUUUUCUCCAAUGUCCUUUGACCUUGUUUGACCUAUGAUAAAUCUCUUGGCCAUUUAUUUGGUGUUUUGAAUAGGUUUUAGGUUUUUGGUAAAACAUAAUUUAAUUUAAUGCAUUUUUAAUUUGUUUAAUUGAAAUAAUUUGUGUUGAGCCAUUUUUAUUGACUUAUGGAGUUUGACUAUUGUGUUUGGGCCUUGGUCAAGGUUGAUUUGACUUUUGUUGGAUUAAAAUCAUUGGAUUUAAGGGAUUGAUGAAAUAUACAUUUCAUCUCCCAAAAUGAAUGAAUGAUUUUAAUUUGAUGAAAUUCCUCCCAUGACCAAUUUGUGUUUGUCUCCUUUCCCCUCCCUCUUCAUAUUCAAUCCCUAUUUAUCUCACUCCUCUCAUUGGUCAAUUACAUCUCAAUAUCCUAAGGCUAAUCGGUUCAUGAACCAAUACAAGUAUGGAUGAGAUUAGGUCCAUCCUUUGAUCAUUUUCUUUUUGUGUGUGGUAUGUUUUAGGAGUAUGGUUCAUCAUGUCAUAUCUCUAACAUGCAUUAACACCAAAAAAUUUAGUGUCCGACCUCAGAUAGUUGUGACUUCUACAUAAGUCAAAUUACGAUUGCUUAACAUAUCGCUAAAUUUUGACACAAAAUGCAUAGCAUUCUAGUAAGUGAAAUUGUAAGUCUCCCCUUUUUCAUGGUAUUGUGUGGAAACUUGGCCUUUUUUCCUUCCUUUGGAAGAUGUCCUGGUUCAAGGAUCCAUGCUUGUGAGUAGAGGGUUGAGUAUUCUCCAAAGAAUGACUUAAAAAGUUGAAAAGAAAAACUCCACUAACAUCUAAUCAACUAACCUUUGACUAGAGGGUUGAGUGUUCUCCAUAAUUGAUUUAAAUUUCAAGUCAUUUACUUUAUGCCAUUUAAAUUCAAGUCAUUUACCAUUUGCCAUUAUACAUAUCAUUUAACUUGUUUAUUUUAAUGUAAUUUUCCCUUUGCUCACUUGAGCCAUAUAUUGUGAUUGUAUAUAUUUGUUUGUAUUAUUUUGGUUGAGCUUGUGGUCUUAGGACCUUAAAAUACUUAAUAAACAACAAAAACCCUAAAAAAUAUUUGUGUGGACUGUUGGAUUUGAUAUGAGCUUUGGACUUAGAAUUAGGCAACAUUUCCUAUGCAAAAGGACUUGGCCAAUGCCAACAUUUUUGAAACCAAGUCAUUGUGACGUUGAGCUUUCAUCUGAUACAAGUAUUGGGAUCCACAUGAGUUCAUCAGCUACAUGGUCUUGAUGCAGGUGUUACUUUGAACCUGUGUCUAAUGCCUUAUUCUGAGCCAUUCAUGGAGUAUGUCAUCUGAUACAUGGGGAAGAUUAUGAAGAAGAUUAUGAAGUUGCUAGCUUGGAUGUGGAUAUCUUUAUUUGAUGCCUUGCUCUUCAUCUUGCUAUUUGUGUAUUGAUAUUUCUUGAUCCUAAAGUCCAAGGGAAAAAUGGGUUUCUAUAUGACAUUCUUGUCUAUUGGAUUGUAUCCCAUUGGUCAAAUAUUUUCAACUCUUAACUUUUAAAUUUUUGCUUAGGAUUAGCCUCUUCAUUUCCUCUCACUUCUUAAAUUUCAAAUUUCUCCCUCUUUUCAAAAACCUUCUUUGCUUGUGAUUUCUAAACUUAGACUUUAUUCCAAAUUAGAAACUUUGACCUUAUGUCAUUGCAUUUUUAAACUCUUUUCUUAAAUCAAACUUGUGAAUAAAUCUAAUCAUAUUGACUUAAAGUUUCAAAAGACAAAAAGAACUAACACUCAUUCAAACUCUUUUAGGCCCUUUGUGCCUCCUUUAAACUUAAAUUUUUGUUAAAAGCAAUUCACUCACUUUAAAAUUGAUACCAUGAACUACGAGGUUUUGAUCCCUCAUUUUUAUGUUGGUACAUAGGCAUAAGUCCGGAGGUCUUGUCAAACACAAAAAUAUAAUCAAUGAAUUCUUUUCUCAUCCCCACACUCUAUUUAUUGCAAGCAUCAUUUUAUACCAAAAAUACAUACACACAUAAAAAAGGGCUCUCUAGGAGUACCUAGGACACUUUGGGUGCUAACACCUUCCCUCUGUGUAACCAACCCCCUUACCUGUAAUCUCUGGCAUUUUAUUAGUUUUGAUUUGAAAACUUCUUAUCUUUGAGUUUUGCUCGUACUUUUCUCUUUUCCCUUGGAAACAAUAAAAGCGCGGUGGCGACUCUGAUUUUAUUGACGUUAAGUUUAUCCAUAGCUUAAUGGUCAUGAAUUUACCGCUACAGUCUGCACGGGAAAAUAUUUCAUUUUAAUAUGCAAUUGAAAGAAAAUAGAAAUAUAGACGAAAUGAACGUAAUGUAAUAGAUAUAACAUUAAUAAAAUCACAACAAAGCAAAAUAUGCAAGUCGAUAAAAACUUCAUAAUAUUUUGAUGAGUUUGAAUAAUAAAAUUAUUAUGUGUCCAACAAAGGAAAUUAAAAACUAAAGUUGUAAUAGUUAUGCAUAAACAAAUGAUACUUGAGGAAUUGGUAGGAUCAAUUGUAGACAUGACAUAACCUAUAAACAUGUUUAAAUAAAGGUGAAUUAAUGAUUUACGAUAAUAAUGGCAGAAAAAAUAUUAAUGUGAUUUAAAAAAAAUAUUAAUAAGCAGAAAAUUAAAGUUACCUAUAUGAUGUUAUGAAAAAAUUCUUUAAAGACAACAUUUGUUGUUUGAAAUAAGGAUUUGUUGUCUUUGUCAUGUAUCAAGAUUUUCAAUCCAGCUUUGCUCUUAACUCUUGAAAUAGCCACAUAUAGUUGUUCGUGGCUGAAAACAUUCUUGGGGAAAUAUAAACCGACAUAGUCCAAUGAUUUACUUUGAGAUUUGUUGAUUGUCAUAGUAAAUGACACAAUAAUUGGGAAUUGUCGUCUGAUAAGUUUGAAUGGCCAUGGAGAUUGAUAAGGAGACAAAUACAUUUUUGGGAUGUAAAUAGUGUUUCCAAUAUUUACUCCUGAAAUAAUUGUUGCUCCGAUUACAUGGUUGACCAACUUAGUAACUCUCAAUCUUGUACCAUUGCAAAGUCCUUCUGAUUGAUCCAAAUUCCUUAUCAACAUGAUGGUUGUGCCAAUUUUCAAUUUAAUUGAGUGGUUUGGCAAUCCAUAAGUUUUUAGACAACUCAAAAAUUAUGGUGUCAAAUGCUCAAAAGCAUCGUUAUCGUUGGCUUCUGAUCUAUCAAUGGAAUCACAACUCAAAUAUUCUUUUGAGUCACUUAAAUUAAAAAUGAAUGAUGCUUAAUGUCUCAAAGUUAAACAUCAUGAAACUAUAAAUGCAUGACAUACCAAAUGUUAUGCUAUGUAUUUACCGUAUGAAACUAUAAGCAUGUAAUUUAUAAGUAUCAUUUUGCAUAGUAAACUAUUCAUCAUAUGUUAUCGUUUAAAACCGGAUGACAUAUAUAAUGCACAACUGAUUAUGUUGUUAAAACAUUGUAUAACCAAUAUAAUAUUUAUGCACAGUUUCUCAUAGAAUGUUGUUGCACUUUUUGUUAUAACACUAAGGAAUAGAAUAUAUAUGCAACAAUUCUAUGAAUAGAUUUACAUAUGCAUGACAUAGAAUACUUUAUCCACUGUUUAUGAUUCAAAAGUGCAACAAUAUUUGUAUUUGUAAACAAUAUAAUAUUUUAGGGUACAUAACAAAACAACAUACCUACAUAUGCAUGUAUCAACAAUUUUAUCUAAUUUUGAAACUAAGAUUGUAUCUUUUGCUAUCAAAAUUUAAUAUACAUGAACUAAAAUGUUAUAUUAUAUCUGUUUUAGUUCUACAUGACAAUGUAUUACAUUUGUUACAUUGUAAUAUGUUUUAUACCAGUUUUGGGGGAAAUAUAUUUUAUAACAACGAUGACAGUGUAUUACAUUGCUUAAAGUAUUAUAGUACUAUCAAAAUGUUGUAAUACAAUUUAUAUUAGUUAAAGUAUUAUAUUCUAAUUUACAAACCAAUGACAAUAUAUUAUAUUGCUUAUAACGGAACUUUAAAAAUAGUAUAAAUCAGAAUGAAGAUAUACCUUGAAGAAGAUUUGUAAUGUAGUCGUUAAUGUCAUCGACUAUUUCAAUAAUUGAUGCCAAAAUAGCUCUACAUUGAAGAAAAUCUGAAUUUGUGUAGUUUUGAAUGAGAUUUGGAUAAGUACUUGUAAUAAUAGCUUCAAUUGGGUCCACAAAAUCUUUAAUGAUUAAAUCUUUUGGAAUAAGUAUCUCAGCAUAUCCAUCACUGGGUUCAAAUUUUUUUUCAUUUCCAACUUGUAAAAUCCAUUCAGAGAAUAGUCGAAUUUCUUCGAAAUUGACUAAAUUUGAGCCACUUUGCAACCACAUAUUUUUUGUUAGAUUAAGAACUUUGCAAUGAUCCAAAAUAUAUGAGGCAUUUAUUGUAGAAUGCACAAUAUCAGACCUACUACCUCUUGGUACAACGGGUAGAAUUUGUCUGAAGUCUCCACCAAAAAUAACAACUUUACCUCAAAAAAUUUGGUUACAUGGACCUUUAUCAUCACUCAUUAUAUCCUUCAAUGACUUCUUAAGAGCUUCAAAAUAAAAUUUAUUUUCCAUAGGUGCUUCAUCCCAUAUAAUGAGUUUUGUGACUUUUAAGAGAUUAGCUAAAUCAAAUUUCUUCUCAAUGUUACAUAUGGAAGAUUCAAGACAUGGAUCUGGAAUUUUGAAUUUGGAAUGUGAUGUUCUCCCUUCUGGUAACAAUAAACUUGUUAUCCCGUUUGAUGCCACAUUCAACACAAUAUCUCCUUGACAACGAAGAACAACAGAAAGUGUAUUCCAUAUGAAAGUCUCUCUGGUGCCCCCAUAACCAUAUAAAAAAAUACUCCACCUUUUUGGUUUGUGACGACUUCCAUGAUUUCUCUAUAAAUGCUAAGUUGUUCUUCUACAAUAAAAAAUAAUAUGUUUUCAUUGGAAUUAUUCAGAAGUCAUAAAAUUAUAUAUGCAAUAUGAACAUGCGUAGUCAUAUAAAGACGACACACUAGAAUAAGGACAACACACUGAAUUGAAUGAUAGAGUAAUGGAAAAAAAUUAUUGCAAGGAAGUGUAAAUAAAAAAUAGAAAUACCUGUUAAUGAUUGAAACAAAUUUUGGUAAAUAUCUUUUUGAGCCGAAAUAUCAUAUUGUCUUUCAUCAUAUAUCAAUUUAUUUCCAAGAAAGUCCAAGACAUAAUUUGAUGGAUAUGGUAUUAGUUUAAAUUCUUUUAAACUUCUUCUAUUUUUUUGAAGUUGUUUCUCAACUUCCAUCAAUGUGAGUUGUUGGAUAUCUUCAUCUGACAAAUAUAAUUCUACAAAUAAUGUUAAGAGCAAAGUAAGUUACCAAAAAUUAGAAAUCCAUAGAUUUGGGAAGAAAAUUCUAAAGUAAUGUGAAUUGUAAACAUGUCGUAUAUAUAGUAAAAUGGGCACAAUAACAGUAGUAUAAACAUGUUAAUUGAAAAGGGUAAAUAAAAAAAUAUGAAUUGUAAAGAUGAGCAGUAUAUAGAAUUUUUUUACAAAAAAGUAAAAUUGAAGGGAUAAAGUAUAAAUUUAUAAUAACCUGAAUUUUGUGACAAUCUUCUUUGUUCAUAUAGAAUGACAUCUGAUAAGUAUAUCCAAGUCUUUUUCCAAACAUGCUCAAGUCGAUUCAUUGAAGGUGACAACAACAUUGUCACAAAAAGUUUGCGCAAAAAAACUCCAAAACCCCAAUUGUAAGCCUCUUUAUUGCCUCAUUGUACUCUUUCUCAUCUUCUAGGAAACCCAAUGCAAAACAUGCGUCUCUAAAGGUAUUGUGUUUGAAUCCCUCAAUUGUCUUCAAAUCAUCAUAACAAGUUGGCCCUUUCUUCACAGUCAACAAUAUCCUCAUAUAAUACAACUCACCAGUUGUUAGAGGCACCCAAAUUAGUCGGCCAAUGGUGUAACCUCUUUUCCGUGGUUUCCAACACCUCUUUCUCCUAUCAUAAACAAAUUUGGAUACAAAUUGAUCAUAUGUUAAUAGUUUUGCUUCUUCAUACUCACUAUUUGCCACAAACCAGGAUGUAAACAUUGACUCUGUGACACUUGGUUUAAGAAGGACAUUCCCAAUUUGCUCAAAGUCUUUGUACUAUACAGAAUUCUCCCCCUCCAUGUGAAAAAAACAAUCUUUCAACUGCUGGUUUUCGACCAUGACUUGAAUAAGAGAAUAUUUUCCAGCAUGCUUCGCUUGGUGAUACAUAACGACAAUCUAGGUAUUGUUUGAUUUCAUCAAUUUUUUCAUCAGUAUGAGAGUUAUUUGGAAUAAUCACUCUUGAGAUUCUAUCAGAACCCUUGUUUAUGUAUUUGAAAAGAUAUUUGAUAGAAGUACUUUGAUUGCACCACUCCAUAUUAAUGUGUGCCUCAUAUUUCAUCAACAAAUUUGGGUUGUGGGGGACAACAUGACCACUAUGAAGUGUGAUUCCAUUUUUUUUCAAUUGUAUUCCCUUGAUCUCUCCUCCUAUAAACUGAAUAUCCAAUCAAAAUUAUCCCAAUUUAAUCAUUCAAUACAAAAUAAUUCUUUCACAUAUCCCAUUCAAACCCUUUUUUUUCAUCAUUUUCAAACUUCUAAACAAAAUCUUAAUUUAAUUAUAUAUCUACAAGAUUGAAAGUCAACUCUAACACUCAUCUUAUUUUAUUAAGUUAAUUAUAUACUCAAUCACAUAUCUUUAAAUUUAUUAAUAUUUAUUUUAAAUUUUAAUAUUAAAAAUUCACAAACAAUUAAUGUGAAACAAUGAACUAUGCCUGUUAGGCUGUUACUAUGACUAUGAGACUAAGGUGUAAUAUUUAUUUCUCAAAUGAUUUGUAAACAAAAUAUAGACAACACCACAUCAUCAUAGAACAAUCCACAUCGGAUAACGGGAGGCGCGUGAAACAAACGAACCACCAUAACAGUAAAAAAACGGACAUAUCUUAUGUCAAGUGAAUACACAACAACGCAACACUCACUAACUCUUAAUUUUGUAUCCAAAUAUCCUGAAAAAUAAAAAACAAACAAAUCUACACAAAUGAUGAACAAGAAAGUCACAAUAAUAAUAAAAAGCCGAAAAGAAAGGAAAAAAAAAAACAAGAUCCACCUCGAACCUCUCUCCACUCUCCCACUACAUUCCAAUCCAAUCACAAUCACCCUCUCUUCUCUCACAACAACAACAACACCACCACUAUCCUCACCCCCUUGUUGUCUCCCAAACCCCAUCCCCAAUUAUCACUCUCUAUAAUCCUUCAAUCAAAUUCCACAAAUUGAUUCUCUCUUCACCACCACCACCAUCACCACCACCACCGCCUUGAACAAAACCAGUGCUUGAUUCAUCACACACAUACACCGAACUCUGUGUGUGUCAGAUUUUGAGAAUCCAAUAAUGAGAGAAGACGAUUCAAAUUGGUUUUCACGAUGGGAAGAACAACUACCUCCACCGGAAGAACUCAUGCCUUUAUCACAAACCCUAAUCACUCCUGAUCUCGCUAUAGCUUUCGAUAUCAGAAACCCUCACACCACGAACACUAUCAACGCUAAUCCGCAACACCAACAACAUCAUCAACAACAACAGCAACAACCUCCACCUUCUU